AACGAACGCUGGCGGCAUGCCUAACACAUGCAAGUCGAACGAGACCUUCGGGUCUAGUGGCGCACGGGUGCGUAACGCGUGGGAAUCUGCCCUUGGGUUCGGAAUAACAGUUGGAAACGACUGCUAAUACCGGAUGAUGACGUAAGUCCAAAGAUUUAUCGCCCAAGGAUGAGCCCGCGUAGGAUUAGCUAGUUGGUGAGGUAAAGGCUCACCAAGGCGACGAUCCUUAGCUGGUCUGAGAGGAUGAUCAGCCACACUGGGACUGAGACACGGCCCAGACCCCUACGGGAGGCAGCAGUGGGGAAUAUUGGACAAUGGGCGAAAGCCUGAUCCAGCAAUGCCGCGUGAGUGAUGAAGGCCUUAGGGUUGUAAAGCUCUUUUACCCGGGAUGAUAAUGACAGUACCGGGAGAAUAAGCUCCGGCUAACUCCGUG
rnacentral:rRNA from 1 species